rnacentral:rRNA from 1 species
UACGGGGGGGGUAAGCGUUGUUCGGAAUUACUGGGCGUAAAGGGCUCGUAGGCGGCCAACUAAGUCAUACGUGAAAUCCCUCAGCUUAACUGGGGAACUGCGUGUGAUACUGGAUGGCUUGGAUUUGGGAGAGGGAUGCGGAAUUCCAGGUGUAGCGGUGAAAUGCGUAGAUAUCUGGAGGAACACCGGUGGCGAAGGCGGCAAUCUGGACCAUAUUGAACGCUGAGGAGCGAAAAGCCAGGG